UGACAUGUUCAGUCAGCGUGGUGUGUGUGUGUGUGUACAUUACUAAGGGAGUGUGUUCUUUAGGGGGAGUUUGGUUGUGUGUUGGUAGGAUAAGACGUGUGUGUGUGUGUGAGCAUUCUGCCAUUCUGCCGGAAAUUGAUCUGUUCCUGAAGGGCAUCACACCCACAAACAAAACAAUGCAGAAGAAAAGUGACCCCCUUGCAUUUCUGUUGCCCGCCGUCCUUUUCUCUCUGAGCAAUGCUGACAGCCGGUACAGAUGGCAAAUGCAUUCUGUCAGGCAGACUUUACCCUUGUUUCUCUUCAAAGCACCCUUAUCCUCUCUGUGGAACGAGAAAGUAUCUGCCUAGUGUGGACCAGGGGACUUUCUCCUAUUCCUCUCUUUCUUUCUGUGUUAAUUCACUUCAGUACUUUUAGUAGCAUUAUACUGUAGUAGCACUGUAUGACUGACAAUGUGUUAUUGAUUCAGGCUUGUCGUUUGCCCUACCUCCAGCUGGAUUAUGUUUGCCAUUGUGUGUUUGUCCUCUCCUUGCCGUUUCAUUUUAUAGCCAGCCUGUUACAGGCAUUUUAGAUUAUGAGCAGCUUGUUGUAACACACUUCCAAUGGGCUGGAACUCUAUAAACAGGCUUGUUAUCAACAUGGUCAGAGUGGGAUACAUGGGUGUGUGUGGGUUUACACGUGCGGGUAACACUGUGUGUGUGUGUGUGUGUGUGUGUGUGUGUGUGUGCAGCCAUGUCUUCUUAUGUUGACCUCCGUUUCAGUGUCACUUCCCUUUCCUGGUUAUCCACAAAAACCUUGAUAUAGGAGACGCCCUUGUUAAACACACCCUGUCUUUACUGUCUGCUGACACACACAGAUGCAAACAAAGAGAGGAAAGCAUUAGUGUAAACACAUUUUGAGUCUGUUCUUCUAGAAGGGACCUGCAAUAUGACUCAACUGAGCAUGAAAGUGCUCGUCCUUGGACCCCCGACACCGUCCAGUACCUCCAAGGUCUGAUGGUGCCCCAACCACUCCGCCAGCACCCUAAAAGACCCUCUGCCUCCCCCUAUGUCCCCUUGUGGGGGAGGCGUGUUAGUGUGACGUCUUCAGCUAUUUCUCAGCACACAUUGUUUAACAUUUCAUUGCUGCAGCCAAGAGAAACCUCAGUGUCAGGAUGACUUUCUUCUGUAUCAAAAUGGACUGACAUCUUUGUUCACACAGCUGCACAAAGAAACGAGGUGAUGCUCUGAAAUAAACUGCUAGAAGAAUCAUUUCAAUUUGGGAGCCUGUUUUGUUUGGUUUUAUAAUCUGAAAUCUGUCUAUUUCCUCUGUCCUGUCUCUUCUUUUCUCUCCUCUCUUCCCUCAUUCACUCCCUUCCCCCAUUAUUCAAUUUUCUUCAUUGUGAGCAUUAGAGCUUGUAACUAUUUCAUUUAGAGCCCGAUCAGUGUUUUUUAGGGUCCGAUACCGAUUCAGAUUUUUUGGGGGACAAAACUUUACGAUAUAUCUGUCGAAAUACUGUUUCAAGUGUAAUUCAAGUGUAAUUAUUCCACACUGAAUUCUUAUUAAUUGCCAUCCUAAACAGCAAUUGUCCAACAAAUAUGUUUCAAAUGUAGAUUUUGUUUUACAUUGUGAAAUUAAUCAUAUCAAGUGUUCAGAUAAGCAUGAGAUUCCCAUUUUUCAUCCUAUUUAUUAGUGGAAUUAUCGGCUGAUACCGAUAUAGCGGUAAAAGGCCAAUAUCGGCUGACAAUAUCGGUCGGGCUCUAAUUUCAUUUAUUGCUCUGCUGUUUUCUGAAGAUGGGGCUUGCAAAAACAGCCAACUUCAUCAGCCCCAUGUCACAAUGAAGCACCUCCCCUCUGUGUUCUCUUUUAUUGUGUAACGUUUAUAUGUGUCCCCCUCAGUGUGAAGAGGCCUGCAGGGAUGGGCAGCAUCCUGAACCGCCUCGGGGGGAAGAAACAGAAGAUGAGCACGUUAGAGAAGUCUAAGAUGGACUGGAACGCCUUCAAAGACGAGGAAGGCAUCGGGGACGAGCUGGCCAUCCACAACCGCGGCAAAGAGGGGUAUGUGGAAAGAAAUAAUUUCCUGGAGAGAGUUGACCACCGGCAGUUUGAGCAGGAAAAGAAAGUGCGUCUCGGCAACAUCAUGAAACGAGGACAAGGAAUAAUGUUACAGAUACACUUACAUUUUGUGUGUGUCACAAUUGUACAUGCCUGCCCAGUUCCUCCCAGCGUUUCUCAGCCCAAUACUUGGCCGCUGGACUGUCCAUGUCUCUGGAUGGCCUACUGACUGUACCUGCUGCUGGCUGCUCCUUGACCUAUCAGACCUCACAUACCCAGUUUACACUCAGCACUCUCAUUAAACCGCCAUCUGUUCCUGGACCUGUGUGUGACCUGAGUCACCUGGACUCAGACCCCUGACUGUCUGUCUCAGUGGCUUCCUCCCUCUUCCCGAUUUAGAGGUGUGGUUGCACUGCUAACCUGCUUGCCUCAGCACAUGGCUGUGUGGCUGGGUGUUUCUGUACAUUUGCCAUAAUCAAAAAAAAGGGAAAGCAUUCCAGGAGUGAGAAGAGGAGAAUGAGUAGCACACCCUGAACUCUGAAUCAGACUUUAUGGCAUUGACUUGAAAGAGCUCAGAUAGUUGUGCCAUCCCUCUCUACCUCCUGCAGUGAUUCAGUUUGGUGCGCUGUUCAUGGGAAGAGUUCAAGUUGAUUGCAUUUCACCUCCUUGUUGCACACUGUGAUUCUCUGGAGUUGUUCCAGCUAAUCUGAAGAUAAAAAAUGGUCUCACUAUUAUGUACCUUAUUUAUACCAACAACAAUCAGAGAUUCUGACAUGAUAAAAUAUGUAUGUUUUAUCAACAGGUCAGCUUAGCUGCCUGUUAAACCUGAGCUAAGAGGGGAGAGGAUUGCUAAAUGUUCCUCAAGUGUUUUCUCAACGUAAUGACACACCUCCUAUUACAAGGUCAAUGUAUGGCUGUUCAGUAGUAGGCACUCACUCACACAGACAGACAGACAGACAGACAGACAGGUGAAUUCAGGGACUUUAGUCUUAGUUACUGGUUGUUAAAUGAAUGUGUCUGAAUUCAAGUGUGUCUGAAUAAUCACAGGUGAAUUUAGACUUGUUUUGUGUUGUCAUCAUGUUGCUGUACUGUGUCACAUGGAAUAAAGCUUGUCAUUUGGUUUGAA